rnacentral:lncRNA from 1 species
CAAAGAUGAAAGGGAACACAGGGGACUCUCAGAGGUUCUGCAUCAUCCUUUGCAGAAAGUGAAAUACACUUCAAUUACCCCGCUGUCUUCAGCGUGCAUCAUAAAGCAGGACUAUGAGGUUACAGGGUCAUUAUAAGCAAUAAAUACAGAUCUCUGUGUUCAGAAUGUAGAUUAGAACCUGAUAGAAAUCUUAGGCAGGUGGCUGCAGUAAAUGCCUGAAAUUACCCACAAUAACUGAGUGAAACCAGGAGCAAGGCGUUUGAAUGCAGCCCUCACUGGACACCAGUCAGGAAGUCAGCAUUGUGCAGUGAGAAAUCAUUGAGUCAUUCCUGCCCAGUUUGCCGUCUAUGAUGCUGUUGCUCAGACAUAGCAAAGAUUCUAGAAAACAAAGGAAAUAUGCUCAGUUGGGGAGAAAUCCUAAGUGGUCAGAAGAAUAUUCGUUUCAGAGUGUUUUCCUAUUCUUGGUCAAGAUGGACUCCUUUGUAGCAUCCUACUUCCCUAAGAGAAUAAGCUUAGAAAAGAUACUGGAAUUUCCGCUCUUGUUUUUACAGUUGAAGUUUUAAAGAGGUUCCCAACUAAGUCCGCACCUUUUGUUAUAGUCUUCCUGGUAGACAGAUAAUAAUA